GAUGAACGCUGGCGGCGUGCCUAAUACAUGCAAGUCGAGCGAACAGACGAGGAGCUUGCUCCUCUGACGUUAGCGGCGGACGGGUGAGUAACACGUGGAUAACCUACCUAUAAGACUGGGAUAACUUCGGGAAACCGGAGCUAAUACCGGAUAAUAUAUUGAACCGCAUGGUUCAAUAGUGAAAGACGGUUUUGCUGUCACUUAUAGAUGGAUCCGCGCCGCAUUAGCUAGUUGGUAAGGUAACGGCUUACCAAGGCAACGAUGCGUAGCCGACCUGAGAGGGUGGUCGGCCAAACUGGAACCUGAGCGCGGUCCAGGCUCCUACGGGAGGCAGCAGUAGGGAAUCUUACGCAAUGGGCGGAAGCCUUGCGGAGCAACGCCGCGUGAGUGGUGAAGGUCUUCGGAUCGUAAAACUCUGUUAUUAGGGAAGAACAAAUGUGUAAGUAACUAUGCACGUCUUGACGGUACCUAAUCAGAAAGCCACGGCUAACUACGUG
rnacentral:rRNA from 1 species